AACUAAGAUACCAACAACAGGACCACUAACAAGACACAAGAUGAGAUUGGUACUAGUAGUCAUUGUACUUUGCCUUGUUGUCUCAACAAUGGCUAGUACUCUACAAAGGAUAAAAAGAGAAAAUAUAAAUGCCAAUUUUGAAGAUAAACGUGAAUUUGAUGCCCACAACCAGAUCGGCAACAAAUACAUAGAGUUGUAUCAAGGAGGUGGUGAUGACGAUCGUGGAAGACUAACAGGACUGAGGAGACGAUAAGAGGAUGGCAUUCCUAUAUGUAUCAAUUUUAUGAACAGAUAUCGAUGAAGAUGUCGGAGAUGUUAAAAUAAAUGAUAAAUUAAAAAUUAUCUGAUGUCAUAUAAUCGACAUUACCAUAUUUCAGAUCAAAAUGUAAUGCUUAAUGGAAUAAAAAGACGUCGAGUCUGACUUUCAAAAUUU